AAUCGGACUAGGAUAUAGCUGGUUUUCUGCGAAAAUUGUUUUGGCAAAUUGUUUAUUCCUCUUAAAAAUAGUAGGUAUAGCACUGAAUAUCUCGAGGGAGUAUGAAAAUAUUUAUCUCAGAUAUUUAAUCUCAAAAUAACUAUUUCUUAAAAUAAAUAAUCAGACUAUGUGCGAUAAGGUAGAUAGUCGAAAGGGAAACAGCCCAGAACAGUAAUUAAAGCUCCCCAAUUAAUAUUAAGUGAA
rnacentral:rRNA from 1 species